rnacentral:misc_RNA from 1 species
GAUGAAGAACGCAGCGAACUGCGAUAAGUAAUGUGAAUUGCAGAAUUCAGUGAAUCAUCGAAUCUUUGAACGCACAUUGCGCCCGCCAGUAUUCUGGCGGGCAUGCCUGUUCGAGCGUCAUUACAACCCUCAGGCCCCCGGGCCUGGCGUUGGGGAUCGGCGGAAGCCCCCUGCGGGCACAACGCCGUCCCCCAAAUACAGUGGCGGUCCCGCCGCAGCUUCCAUUGCGUAGUAGCUAACACCUCGCAACUGGAGAGCGGCGCGGCCACGCCGUAAAACACCCAACUUCUGAAUGUUGACCUCGAAUCAGGUAGGAAUACCCGCUGAACUUAAGCAUAUCAAUAAGCGGAGGA